rnacentral:rRNA from 1 species
AUUGAACGCUGGCGGCAGGCCUAACACAUGCAAGUCGAGCGAGCGGCGGACGGGUGAGUAAUGUCUGGGAAACCGCCUGUUGGAGGGGGAUUACUACUGGAAACGGUAGCUAACACCGCAUACCACCAGAUGUGCCCAGAUGGGAUUAGCUAGUAGGUGGGGUAACGGCUCACCUAGGCGACGAUCCCUAGCCGGACUGAGAGGAUGGCCAGCGGCACGGGAGCGGGGACACGGUCAAGGCUCCGACGAGAGGCAGGAGAGGGGAAUAUUGCACAGUGGGCGCAAACCUGGUGCAACGAUGCCGCGUGUGUGAAGAAGGCCUUGGGGUUGUAAAGCACUUUUAGCGGGUGGGCGUUACCCGCAGAAGAAGCACGGGCUAACUCCGUGCCAGCCGCCGCGGUAAUUC